rfam:Medicago truncatula strain A17 chromosome 5, whole genome shotgun sequence.
CCCAUAACUUAUUUUUGAGUUUUCUUUUGGUCCCUUAACUAUUAAAAGUUUCGUUUUGGUCCCUUAACUUAUUUUUUUGUUUCAUUUUGAUCCCUUAACUAUAAUACAUUCAUCCUAACAUAAAGGACCAAAGUGGUUGACGGAUGAAGAGUUAAGGGACCAAAACGAAACCAAAAAAGUAAGUUAAAGGACGAAAACGAAACUUUUAAUAGUUAAGAGACCAAAACGAAACCAAAAAAUAAGUCAAGGGA